rnacentral:rRNA from 1 species
CCUACGGGAGGCAGCAGUGAGGAAUAUUGGUCAAUGGGCGCGAGCCUGAACCAGCCAAGUAGCGUGAAGGAUGACUGUCCUACGGGUUGUAAACUUCUUUUAUAAAGGAAUAAAGUGAGGCACGUGUGCCUUUUUGUAUGUACUUUAUGAAUAAGGAUCGGCUAACUCCGUGCCAGCAGCCGCGGUAAUACGGAGGAUGCGAGCGUUAUCCGGAUUUAUUGGGUUUAAAGGGAGCGUAGAUGGGUUGUUAAGUCAGGUGUGAAAGUUUGGGGCUCAACCAUCAAAUUGCCAUUGAUACUGGCAGCCUUGAGUACAGGUGAGGUAGGCGGAAUGCGCGGUGUAGCGGUGAAAUGCUUAGAUAUCACGAAGAACUCCGAUUGCGAAGGCAGCCUACCAGAUCGCCACUGACACUGAGGCACGAAAGCGUGGGUAUCAAACAGGAUUAGAUACCCCAGUAGUC